rnacentral:rRNA from 1 species
CACGUAGGGGGCGAGCGUUGUCCGGAAUUACUGGGCGUAAAGGGUGCGUAGGCGGCCUUAUAAGUCAUGUGUGAAAAACCCGGGCUCAACCCGGGUAUUGCAAGUGAAACUAUAGGGCUUGAGUGCAGGAGAGGGAAGUGGAAUUCCUAGUGUAGCGGUGAAAUGCGUAGAGAUUAGGAGGAACACCAGUGGCGAAGGCGGCUUCCUGGACUGCAACUGACGCUGAGGCACGAAAGCGUGGGGAGCAAACAGG